rnacentral:rRNA from 1 species
GGGGUACUCGAGUGGCGAACGGGUGAGUAACACGUGGGUGAUCUGCCCUGCACUUUGGGAUAAGCCUGGGAAACUGGGUCUAAUACCGAAUAGGACCGCGCUGCUUCAUGGGGUGUGGUGGAAAGCUUUUGCGGUGUGGGAUGGGCGCCGCGGCCUAUCAGCUUGUUGGUGGGGUAAUGGCCUACCAAGGCGACGACGGGUAGCCGGCCUGAGAGGGUGACCGGCCACACUGGGACUGAGAUACGGCCCAGACUCCUACGGGAGGCAGCAGUGGGGAAUAUUGCACAAUGGGCGCAAGCCUGAUGCAGCGACGCCGCGUGAGGGAUGACGGCCUUCGGGUUGUAAACCUCUUUCAAUAGGGACGAAGCGCAAGUGACGGUACCUAUAGAAGAAGGACCGGCCAACUACGUGCCAGCAGCCGCGGUAAUACGUAGGGUCCGAGCGUUGUCCGGAAUUACUGGGCGUAAAGAGCUCGUAGGUGGUUUGUCGCGUUGUUCGUGAAAACUCACAGCUUAACUGUGGGCGUGCGGGCGAUACGGGCAGACUAGAGUACUGCAGGGGAGACUGGAAUUCCUGGUGUAGCGGUGGAAUGCGCAGAUAUCAGGAGGAACACCGGUGGCGAAGGCGGGUCUCUGGGCAGUAACUGACGCUGAGGAGCGAAAGCGUGGGGAGCGAACAGGAUUAGAUACCCUGGUAGUCCACGCCGUAAACGGUGGGUACUAGGUGUGGGUUUCCUUCCUUGGGAUCCGUGCCGUAGCUAACGCAUUAAGUACCCCGCCUGGGGAGUACGGCCGCAAGGCUAAAACUCAAAGGAAUUGACGGGGGCCCGCACAAGCGGCGGAGCAUGUGGAUUAAUUCGAUGCAACGCGAAGAACCUUACCUGGGUUUGACAUGCACAGGACGCCAGUAGAGAUAUUGGUUCCCUUGUGGCCUGUGUGCAGGUGGUGCAUGGCUGUCGUCAGCUCGUGUCGUGAGAUGUUGGGUUAAGUCCCGCAACGAGCGCAACCCUUGUCUCAUGUUGCCAGCACGUUAUGGUGGGGACUCGUGAGAGACUGCCGGGGUCAACUCGGAGGAAGGUGGGGAUGACGUCAAGUCAUCAUGCCCCUUAUGUCCAGGGCUUCACACAUGCUACAAUGGCCGGUACAAAGGGCUGCGAUGCCGUGAGGUGGAGCGAAUCCUUUCAAAGCCGGUCUCAGUUCGGAUCGGGGUNUGCAACUCGACCCCGUGAAGUCGGAGUCGCUAGUAAUCGCAGAUCAGCAACGCUGCGGUGAAUACGUUCCCGGNCCUUGUACACACCGCCCGUCACGUCAUGAAAGUCGGUAACACCCGAAGCC